rnacentral:rRNA from 1 species
UACGAAGGGGGCGAGCGUUGUUCGGAAUCACUGGGCGUAAAGCGCACGUAGGCGGCUUCUUAAGUCGGUGGUGAAAUCCUGGAGCUCAACUCCAGAACUGCCUUCGAUACUGGGAAGCUCGAGUCCGGGAGAGGUGAGUGGAACUGCGAGUGUAGAGGUGAAAUUCGUAGAUAUUCGCAAGAACACCAGUGGCGAAGGCGGCUCACUGGCCCGGUACUGACGCUGAGGUGCGAAAGCGUGGGGAGCAAACAGG